ensembl:lncRNA
AUGCGAGAGAAAGGGGCGGGAACGCUGCCCUUAUAUGGAAGUGGUGCUCUCGGCCCACGAACCAGGAAACAGCACAGUUACAGUUACAUGCAUCCAUACACUAUUAACACAUGCCAUGUUGCAACCUUAAAUUGUAAACACCGAACACGUCGCGAAAGCGUAACCUCAAGCACCUCCGAACACGCCGCAGGACUCUCGGGGGAUCAUUUGUGGUCAAAUCGAGUGUAUCGUGUAUUCGCGCCUGUGUGUCACUUGACGCCCUCGUUAUUUUCCCCCACGCCCGCCCGGUUAGAUCUCGGAGACUUGAAAACCAGCCGAGCAUUUCACAAGACUUGCCGAAAACAGGCUCCGACACCCAAUUGUUACGGGGGACAAAAAAUGAAAUUGACGAGCUUCUGGACCAUCGGAGGACCUUGGUGGCGCAAUGAUACACCAAUCGAAUCACUCAAUGAGCAUUAGACCACAUCAUGGCCGACAGUGCGGACAGAAUGAGCUUUCUCUCCUGGAAGUAUGGACAUUACUUUUCGCUCGUCGAAAGUAAAGACAAAAAUGUAGUGGUGAGUUGUAAAUUAUGUGCAGGUGCAAAGACCCUAUCCACAUCUAAGAGUAGCAAUUCCAAUCUUAUGAAGCACCUGUUGAAACAACACGCUUCGACAAAGCUAGUAGCGAAAGAGCCCAGCCCUACGGAUGCUGAACGACCAAGGCUAGACUUUACAUGGACUGCACAGCCGAUAAGCCAGGCAGAGCUGAAUAAAUUGAUUGUUAAAAGGGACUUUUGUACUACUGCUUGAUUUGAAAGCCUGUUGCCCUGUUGAUUACAAUAAAUAGGUCUAAAAAAUAUGUUUAUUGUGUUUGACUGUUCAGUACUGUUCAUUACAUUAAAAAAGCGACAUAAAAGUAACUUAAAAGUUACUUUCCAGAGUAACUAAUUACGUUUGAUAUACAGUAACUGGUAAAGUAAUUAAAAUUACCUUUAAAAGAAGUAACUGUAACUAAUUACUAAUUUUCAGUAACUUGCUCAACACUGAUAUUGACUAUAUUUCUCCCACUCUUCAGCGCCCUUUUUGCUGCUUUAUCCAUUAAAUCUUGUCGGCUUCUGGAGUGGCAAAACUUCAGACUCGUCAGCACUGCACGAGUCUGCUGCUAUAACCACUCUCUCAGGCCCAACGUCCUCUACCCACUGUAGUGCAAAAAUUAUGGCCAUCAUCUCGCAUGUAAACACUGAUAAGUCAUCACUGAGUCUUUUCCCACACUCAUACUGGAAUUCUGGUAUUACUGCUGCAGCUGCUGUUCUAUAUAUUCAUUUAUUAAUUAAUGGUGAAUGUGCACUGUAUUAAAAAUAAUAAUAAUAAUAAUAAUACUUGUAUAGCCCUUUUCAUAGUACUCAAAUAAAACAUAUAAAGAAUGCUACGUGGGGUCUACUAGCAGAACGAGGCUCAGGUCUCUUUUCUUUUUUCCCGGGCAGGAGGUGAAAGGUCAAAAGAACCGAACCUGAAAUCCGUCUCCCUCCUGACUGUCCCUGAUCGUUAUCACAAUACAUUCAAUGAAUAAAACGUUGGUCUAAAGCUCCUUCAUUCAAACGUAAAAGAGCAUGCAUAAUAUCAGCUAAUGGGUAAUAUUAGUCUUUUUAAGUGUUUUUAAAUCUCCCUGCUUUAUGUUUGAUGUUUUAAUGGUUUUAUGAAAAACUUUUAUUGUUGAAAUGUGCUACACAAAUAAAAAUGCCCUGACUUGCCUUAAGAUAAAGGCGAGGAAGGUUUUAAAAGGAUGCCUCAAGAGAUAUUUUAAAGCCAAAAGUCUGAAAUCGGAUGUUAAAGUGAAAAAAAAAAAGUUUUGCUCCAUAUUGCUGCAAAUAAAUGAAUAAAAGAAAGUUGCAGUAAGGAAAUGCCCUGAUUUUGAGGCAUUUAGAAACCUCUUGUAUAACCUUAUAUUCCUUUAACAAGUACAUGUUAACAUGUUUAUAAAGGACCGUUUUUACUUUCCAUUACAAAGGCAGUGAGCUUUCUUUGAGCUUGCUUUGUUCUUUUUAUUAAAAGGUGUUGUGGGAGUGCAAAGACGGGGAGUCUUUGCAUGUUUAAAUUCCUCAAAAUACCUCAAGGAAGACAUUUCUGUUGAGGUGGAUGUGUUACUACAAGUCUACACAUUUCAGAGAGCAACGUGGGAUCGAAAGACAGAGGAGGGUCUGUGAUCAGGUGUAUCAAACGCUUCACUCAUGGGAGAGGAUUUUCAUGUAUUGGAUGUAUGCAAUACAUAUAUAUAUAUAUAUAUAUAUAUAUAUAUACAGAUAUAUAUAUAUAUAUAUCCAAACAGUAUUUUUAACGGACUUCUCCUCUUAACAAACUGCUACAUGCAUGAACAUGUAAAUAUUAAAGCUUUCAGCUCGUUUUCACCCACAAGUUCACACCUGCCAACAGUAAAUUAAGCAGAAUGGACCUAUUUGGUGAGCAGGGGACAGAACAUCUGACAAACCGUCCACAUUUAUGUAGAAGAAACACAACAACAUCAGUCCCUGGUGUCGUGUUUAAAAUAAGCAUUUAAUUGAAAUUACAACUUUUGACAAUUCUGUAGCUGCUUGUGGGUCUGCUUAUAUAACGGAAGUAAAUCCAAAAGAUAAUACACAUCUAAAAACAGCUUGAUGAAAACGGAUGCAAAUCUAAUGCAUUCUUGUUUGAAAUGUGUCAAUCCUCUUUCACUUGCUCGUAAUUAAACAAAUACAAGUUUACAAUUUAGUGUAAGGUAAACAAAAGUUUAAAAA